GUGUGUGGAUGGUGUUCAGCACCAGGGACAGGUGUGUUUGCCUGUGUGUGGAUGGUGUUCAGCACCAGGGAUAGGUGUGUUCACUG
rnacentral:pre_miRNA from 1 species